rnacentral:rRNA from 1 species
AGUGAACGCUGGCGGUAGGCCUAACACAUGCAAGUCGAACGGCAGCACAGUAAGAGCUUGCUCUUACGGGUGGCGAGUGGCGGACGGGUGAGGAAUACAUCGGAAUCUACUUUUUCGUGGGGGAUAACGUAGGGAAACUUACGCUAAUACCGCAUACGACCUACGGGUGAAAGCAGGGGAUCUUCGGACCUUGCGCGAUUGAAUGAGCCGAUGUCGGAUUAGCUAGUUGGCGGGGUAAAGGCCCACCAAGGCGACGAUCCGUAGCUGGUCUGAGAGGAUGAUCAGCCACACUGGAACUGAGACACGGUCCAGACUCCUACGGGAGGCAGCAGUGGGGAAUAUUGGACAAUGGGCGCAAGCCUGAUCCAGCCAUACCGCGUGGGUGAAGAAGGCCUUCGGAUUGUAAAGCCCUUUUGUUGGGAAAGAAAAGCAGCAGGUUAAUACCCCGCUGUUCUGACGGUACCCAAAGAAUAAGCACCGGCUAACCUCGUG